UUGAACGCUGGCGGCAGGCCUAACACCUGCAAGUCGAACGGUAACAGGAAGCAGCUUGCUGCUUCGCUGACGAGUGGCGGACGGGUGAGUAAUGUCUGGGAAGCUGCCUGAUGGAGGGGGAUAACUACUGGAAACGGUAGCUAAUACCGCAUAAUGUCGCAAGACCAAAGAGGGGGACCUUCGGGCCUCUUGCCAUCGGAUGUGCCCAGAUGGGAUUAGCUUGUUGGUGGGGUAACGGCUCACCAAGGCGACGAUCCCUAGCUGGUCUGAGAGGAUGCCCAGCCACACUGGAACUGAGACACGGUCCAGACUCCUACGAGAGGCAGCAGUGGGGAAUAUUGCACAAUGGGCGCAAGCCUGAUGCAGCCAUGCCGCGUGUAUGAAGAAGGCCUUCGGGUUGUAAAGUACUUUCAGCGGGGAGGAAGGGAGUAAAGUUAAUACCUUUGCUCAUUGACGUUACCCGCAGAAGAAGCACCGGCUAACUCCGU
rnacentral:rRNA from 1 species